rnacentral:rRNA from 1 species
UACGUAGGCAGCAAGCGUUGUUCGGAAUUACUGGGCGUAAAGAGUGUGUAGGCGGUGCUCCAAGUCUGGUGUGAAAUCUCCCGGCUCAACCGGGAGGGUGCGCCGAAAACUGGAGUGCUCGAGUAUGGGAGAGGUAAGCGGAAUUCCUGGUGUAGCGGUGAAAUGCGUAGAUAUCAGGAGGAACACCUGUGGUGUAGACAGCUUACUGGACCAUCACUGACGCUGAGACACGAAAGCGUGGGUAGCAAACAGG